rnacentral:rRNA from 1 species
GAUGAACGCUGGCGGCGUGCCUAAUACAUGCAAGUCGAGCGAACAGACGAGGAGCUUGCUCCUCUGACGUUAGCGGCGGACGGGUGAGUAACACGUGGAUAACCUACCUAUAAGACUGGGAUAACUUCGGGAAACCGGAGCUAAUACCGGAUAAUAUAUUGAACCGCAUGGUUCAAUAGUGAAAGACGGUUUUGCUGUCACUUAUAGAUGGAUCCGCGCCGCAUUAGCUAGUUGGUAAGGUAACGGCUUACCAAGGCGACGAUGCGUAGCCGACCUGAGAGGGUGAUCGGCCACACUGGAACUGAGACACGGUCCAGACUCCUACGGGAGGCAGCAGUAGGGAAUCUUCCGCAAUGGGCGAAAGCCCGACGGAGCAACGCCGCGUGAGUGAUGAAGGUCUUCGGAUCGUAAAGCUCUGUUAUUAGGGAAGAACAAAUGUGUAAGUAACUAUGCACGUCUUGACGGUACCUAAACAGAAAGCCACGGCUAACUACGUG